rnacentral:rRNA from 1 species
CCUACGGGAGGCAGCAGUGAGGAAUAUUGGUCAAUGGACGAGAGUCUGAACCAGCCAAGUAGCGUGAAGGAUGACUGCCCUAUGGGUUGUAAACUUCUUUUAUAUGGGAAUAAAACGUUCCACGUGUGGGAUUUUGUAUGUACCAUAUGAAUAAGGAUCGGCUAACUCCGUGCCAGCAGCCGCGGUAAUACGGAGGGUCCGAGCGUUAUCCGGAUUUAUUGGGUUUAAAGGGAGCGUAGGUGGAUUGUUAAGUCAGUUGUGAAAGUUUGCGGCUCAACCGUAAAAUUGCAGUUGAAACUGGCAGUCUUGAGUACAGUAGAGGUGGGCGGAAUUCGUGGUGUAGCGGUGAAAUGCUUAGAUAUCACGAAGAACCCCGAUUGCGAAGGCAGUUCACUGGACUGCAACUGACACUGAGGCUCGAAAGUGUGGGUAUCAAACAGGAUUAGAUACCCUUGUAGUC